GACAGAGGAUGCAAACGUUGUUCGGAUUUACUGGGCGUAAAGCGCGUGUAGGCGGCUUUGCAAGUCGGAUGUGAAAUCCCACGGCUCAACCGUGGAAGUGCAUCCGAAACUGCAUCGCUGGAGUCUCGGAGAGGAAGGUGGAAUGCUUGGUGUAGAGGUGAAAUUCGUAGAUAUCAAGCAGAACACCUGCGGCGAAGGCGGCCUUCUGGACGACGACUGACGCUGAGACGCGAAAGCGUGGGGAGCAAACAGG
rnacentral:rRNA from 1 species